rnacentral:rRNA from 1 species
GACUGCGGAGGAUCAUUAAUGAUUGACCGUCUGUCGAGCUUGCUCACAGGCACAUCAUAUCCAUAACACCUGUGCACUUGUCGGAUGGCUUAGUGAAGACCGCAAGGUUGGAUCUAUCCAUCUACUUUACAUAACAAUUCUGUAACAAAUGUAGUCUUAUUAUAACAUAAUAAAACUUUCAACAACGGAUCUCUUGGCUCUCGCAUCGAUGAAGAACGCAGCGAAAUGCGAUAAGUAAUGUGAAUUGCAGAACUCAGUGAAUCAUCGAAUCUUUGAACGCACCUUGCGCUCCUUGGUAUUCCGAGGAGCAUGCCUGUUUGAGUGUCAUGAAAACCCUCAACCCUAGAUUGGUUAAUACCUUUCUUUGGUUUGGAUUUGGACGUUUGCCGAUGAUAAGUCGGCUCGUCUUAAAAGUAAUAGCUGGAUCUGUCUCGCGACAUGGUUUGACUUGGCGUAAUAAGUAUUUCGCUAAGGACAUCUUCGGAUGGCCGCGUUGCAGGGCUAAAGACCGCUUUCUAAUCCAUUGAUCUUCGGAUUAAUACUCUUGACAUCUGGCCUCAAAUCAGGUAGGACUACCCGCUGAACUUAAGCAUAUCAAUAAGCGGAGGA